GCACGCAACCACGGGGGCACUAAACCCCGAUACGUCGGCACGACAACGCCUCUCCGCACUUAGCUGCCCGUGUACAUCUAAUUGAACGCGCACACACAUACACAUACACAAAGGAACGAGAGGCCCUGCUCGUCCUUGUGCGGGCGUGUUUUUGCGGGCCCACCCGUGCUCUCGCGUGCGCCACGCCACCGCCCCUUUCUGCCAAGACCGGACUUCAGCGAGACGGCACACCGUUACGUGCCGCACACCCGACCCAUUAGGUCCAUGCACCCAUAGAAAUGUCCCUAUGCACAUCCCCACACUUGGAGGAAGCACUCUGCAGCACCAGUGCGGAUGGAGACCGAGGGCGUAGACAAGCUUCCUCUCACAGAGGCGUCGUUUCGGGCGCUGGAGGAGGCGUACGAGAGGCAGUGGUGCCAGACGCGGCUUCUGUGUGAAGCGCCAACGCCGUGCGCUGACGUUCAUGUCGUCGCGGCAGCUUCCAGCGCUGCUAAGCACAUGCGCCGCCUAUGGGCGGAUACAGCGCGACUCCAUAGACGGUUUGUCGAGGUGAAGCAGCAUCGCGACCUUAGUUUCACGCAGGAGGAGCGGGCGUCUCUGCGUCUGCUCGGCUUCCGCUCACCACCGCCGCCACCUGCCUCCAACGACGCGCUCACGCACACCACGUCGCCGGUACCAUCGCCUGUGCACGCCUCUAAUGAAACAACCGCUUCUGGACAAGCGACAGAGGUAGCUGCGUUACGCAAGGAAUGCGCGAGACUCCGACACGAGGGUGCACAGCUGAUGUCAAUUCUGGCAUGCUAUCAGCUCCGCGAGACGCAUGCUCUUGGGUCGAACAACGAUGCAAGGCUUCCCUCACCUUCACAGGGGACAUCUACCUCCGCCUCCGAUGCCUACGCGGAGCUCGCGGAGGUGCAGCGCCAAUAUAGAUUGCUGCUCUCCCCAACAGCAGCGAAGUACAGUCUCACCCCGCCUGACGGCAUUCAGCGGUCCGAGGACGUGGCCAUUGCAGAACUGCUCGUCGAGUGCGGGUUUCCUCGUCAUGUGAGCGUUGUUCGCCUUGGGUCAGACGGCCUCUUCGUGAUCGAUCGCCCGGUAUGGAUCACCUUUGCGUCUCCGCAGAGCGCCACGCUGAUGGUGCGCGACCCCGAAGGGCUCGAGCGUGAAUGCACGCUGGAGUCGUACCUCACAGCGGUGUAUGCACCGCUCCUUCGCGCUUUUCACUGGCAAAAGCCUUCGACGGGUGUGCAGCUGGCUGGAGGGAGUGCAGCCCCGACCUGCUCAGCGGCACUGUCCUUCCCGGCGGUGCCUGUUACGCCUGCGCCACUUUCCGAUGCGGUAAAACGGGAGAGAUCGCCGUCGACUCGGCAUUCCGUGCUGUCCCAGCUGACGUACGAGGAGCUUGUGGAGCUCAAGCACGCAACGCUGCGGCGCCUUGGCCGCACCAGUGAGGCUGCUUCGCAAUCGUGAAGGCGCGAGCGGGGGAGGGAAGGAGGGCGGCGGCUUCAGCAGCGCCUGCCCAAAGAGUUGGGUCGACGCCUUACGCCCUGUCGACAUCCUUUCUCUAACUCUCUGCCGCGCCCUCCCCCUCCGCUUCUGCGUGCUGGCGUGCAGCCGCGGAACACGCUGUAAAGUGCAUUCUUCUUUUUGUAUGUGUCUUCUUUUUAGUAUUCUCGGAUGAUGGCGCACCACCACCAAGGCACAGGUGUGCGCACCGCCCGCGGAGGGCUCAAUGAAAGAGAAGAGGGGUGGAGCGGGGGGGGGCGGGGGUGAGACUUGGUGCGGGCGGGCGAGGUGAUGCCGCGCUUGGCGUUUCUUUUCUCUGCUUUCUCAGUUGAUGCCUCAGCGUUCAAGAAGAGAGUAGGCCGGUAUCAUGUGUGGAAGGGGCACCGGUGCUGGUGAUUCGUACCUCUCUCUUGAAUUAGCAUCAUUGCCCUCUGUGCUCCCGCCUGCGUGCGUGCCAACCAUGACGCAGUCGCGCCACGCUGCCCACCUAGUGGCGUAUGAGUGUGAGAGACAAGUUGUCACAUGUGCCCCUCGUCGACCUCAUCCUUUCUCUCUGUCUUCCUGCACGCACGUGUCGCGCUCCUCUUCUGUUACUUCUUGUUUCCUCUUGUGCUUGCAGUGCUGCGCGCCGGCGCCUCUCGUCUUCUCUCCAUGUGUCGGCGUGUGCAUGCGUGCGUACGACGUUGUUGGCGAGACACUGCCACUUCCAGUCGCAGG
rnacentral:misc_RNA from 1 species